UGGGGAAUUUUGCGCAAUGGGGGAAACCCUGACGCAGCAACGCCGCGUGGAGGAUGAAGUCCUUCGGGACGUAAACUCCUUUCGAUCGGGACGAUUAUGACGGUACCGGAAGAAGAAGCCCCGGCUAACUUCGUGCCAGCAGCCGCGGUAAUACGAGGGGGGCGAGCGUUGUUCGGAAUUAUUGGGCGUAAAGGGUGCGUAGGCGGUUUGGUAAGUCUUGUGUGAAAUCUACAGGCUCAACUUGUAGUCUGCACGAGAAACUGCCGGGCUUGAGUAUGGGAGAGGUGAGUGGAAUUCCUGGUGUAGCGGUGAAAUGCGUAGAUAUCAGGAGGAACACCUGUGGCGAAAGCGGCUCACUGGACCAUAACUGACGCUGAUGCACGAAAGCUAGGGGAGCAAACAGGAUUAGAUACCCCCGUAGUCC
rnacentral:rRNA from 1 species